GUGCCAUAUUAAAAGGAUACUAGACGAUAUGACAUAUAGAACGGUAUUCAUGCAUUUGCAUCCGUCUAGCAUUAUGAUCUACUUGUUGUUGCAUAUGGUGUUGUGUUUUCUACCUACAAUAGCGAUUUAUGCACCAGAGGGGGAUGUUUACAACAUUUAAGCAAUGAAAUCGAUGGUGUUAGACCAACUUAAAAAGUUACAAACAGAGCUGAUCUAGUCCGAAAAUGAAAACCUUUCAAAGAAGAAGCAAAUCAACUAGCCAAGGAAUUUGACAGCAACACAAUGGAAAAAGUGGCUCUGUCAAAUAAAAAAAAGACAAACUUUGAGUAGGAGUUUUGAAACAAAUAAAACUAAACCUGCAUUCAUAUGCCAUUGAAUAAGCAGUGAUGCUGUCAAAGGACAAA